GACGAACGCUGGCGGCGUGCCUAAUACAUGCAAGUCGAACGCUUCUUUCCUCCCGAGUGCUUGCACUCAAUUGGAAAGAGGAGUGGCGGACGGGUGAGUAACACGUGGGUAACCUACCCAUCAGAGGGGGAUAACACUUGGAAACAGGUGCUAAUACCGCAUAACAGUUUAUGCCGCAUGGCAUAAGAGUGAAAGGCGCUUUCGGGUGUCGCUGAUGGAUGGACCCGCGGUACAUUAGCUAGUUGGUGAGGUAACGGCUCACCAAGGCCACGAUGCAUAGCCGACCUGAGAGGGUGAUCGGCCACACUGGGACUGAGACACGGCCCAGACUCCUACGGGAGGCAGCAGUAGGGAAUCUUCGGCAAUGGACGAAAGUCUGACCGAGCAACGCCGCGUGAGUGAAGAAGGUUUUCGGAUCGUAAAACUCUGUUGUUAGAGAAGAACAAGGACGUUAGUAACUGAACGUCCCCUGACGGUAUCUAACCAGAAAGCCACGGCUAACUACGUG
rnacentral:rRNA from 1 species